rnacentral:rRNA from 1 species
UACGUAGGGUGCGAGCGUUGUCCGGAAUUAUUGGGCGUAAAGAGCUCGUAGGCGGUGUGUCGCGUCGGCCGUGAAAAACCUGGGGCUCAACUCUGGGCGUGCGGUCGAUACGGGCAUCACUUGAGUUCGGCAGGGGAGACUGGAAUUCCUGGUGUAGCGGUGAAAUGCGCAGAUAUCAGGAGGAACACCGGUGGCGAAGGGCGGGGUCUCUGGGGCCGAUACUGACGCUGAGGAGCGAAAGCAUGGGGUAGC